CAGUCCUUAAAAUUUCCUGCUUCACUGAAAGCUAUGCCAGAGACUUUAGGUCUGUAGGCUGAAGAUGAUGCCCCAAUGUUGCAGAGGAACUUUGGAUGACUGUCCAGGCAGCCAGAUGUCUCUGUCAUUUCUAGAAUUAUGGUAGUUGCUUGCAAUGCACUUCCUGUUUACUCAGACCUCACACAAGAUGAAGUGGAUGGAGGUUAUGCUGAGAAAGAAGCAGCUGGUAGUGGGUCAUAUGAAAAGGAUAAAGAAACUGAGGCACAGAGAGGAAGAGCAACUUGUUUGGGAUCAGACUGGAAAAUAAAUCUACAUGAAGACUAAUGACGCUGGGCUAAUGUGGUAUCAGUGUUGAGAUCAGGCUCCAGUGACAAACUGACAGCAGGACCAGCCAGAAGCACAUCAGCAUGGACACAGGGUAUGGCUGACAGCACACACCAUGACAGGUAGGAAAAGAGAUCAGGAGGCUUAGUCACAGGUGGACAGGAGCAGGAGGUCCAUUUGCUACCUCACAUUACA